CGCGACCCGGCCCCGUCCCC
rnacentral:miRNA from 1 species